rnacentral:tRNA from 2 species
GGGCGAAUAGCUCAGCCGGCCAGAGCGCCUGCUUCACACGCAGGAGGUCGCUGGUUCAAGUCCAGCUUCGCCCACCA